rnacentral:rRNA from 1 species
GUGGAAGCGUCUGGAAAGGCGCGCGAUACAGGGUGACAGCCCCGUACACAAAAAUGCACAUAUUGUGAGCUCGAUGAGUAGGGCGGGACACGUGGUAUCCUGUCUGAAUAUGGGGGGACCAUCCUCCAAGGCUAAAUACUCCUGACUGACCGAUAGUGAACCAGUACCGUGAGGGAAAGGCGAAAAGAACCCCGGCGAGGGGAGUGAAAAAGAACCUGAAACCGUGUACGUACAAGCAGUGGGAGCCUCUUAAUGGGGUGACUGCGUACCUUUUGUAUAAUGGGUCAGCGACUUAUAUUCUGUAGCAAGGUUAACCGAAUAGGGGAGCCGAAGGGAAACCGAGUCUUAACUGGGCGUUAAGUUGCAGGGUAUAGACCCGAAACCCGGUGAUCUAGCCAUGGGCAGGUUGAAGGUUGGGUAACACUAACUGGAGGACCGAACCGACUAAUGUUGAAAAAUUAGCGGAUGACUUGUGGCUGGGGGUGAAAGGCCAAUCAAACCGGGAGAUAGCUGGUUCUCCCCGAAAGCUAUUUAGGUAGCGCCUCGUGAAUUCAUCUCCGGGGGUAGAGCACUGUUUCGGCAAGGGGGUCAUCCCGACUUACCAACCCGAUGCAAACUGCGAAUACCGGAGAAUGUUAUCACGGGAGACACACGGCGGGUGCUAACGUCCGUCGUGAAGAGGGAAACAACCCAGACCGCCAGCUAAGGUCCCAAAGUCAUGGUUAAGUGGGAAACGAUGUGGGAAGGCCCAGACAGCCAGGAUGUUGGCUUAGAAGCAGCCAUCAUUUAAAGAAAGCGUAAUAGCUCACUGGUCGAGUCGGCCUGCGCGGAAGAUGUAACGGGGCUAAACCAUGCACCGAAGCUGCGGCAGCGACACUAUGUGUUGUUGGGUAGGGGAGCGUUCUGUAAGCCUGUGAAGGUGUACUGUGAGGUAUGCUGGAGGUAUCAGAAGUGCGAAUGCUGACAUAAGUAACGAUAAAGCGGGUGAAAAGCCCGCUCGCCGGAAGACCAAGGGUUCCUGUCCAACGUUAAUCGGGGCAGGGUGAGUCGACCCCUAAGGCGAGGCCGAAAGGCGUAGUCGAUGGGAAACAGGUUAAUAUUCCUGUACUUGGUGUUACUGCGAAGGGGGGACGGAGAAGGCUAUGUUGGCCGGGCGACGGUUGUCCCGGUUUAAGCGUGUAGGCUGGUUUUCCAGGCAAAUCCGGAAAAUCAAGGCUGAGGCGUGAUGACGAGGCACUACGGUGCUGAAGCGACAAAUGCCCUGCUUCCAGGAAAAGCCUCUAAGCAUCAGGUAACAUCAAAUCGUACCCCAAACCGACACAGGUGGUCAGGUAGAGAAUACCAAGGCGCUUGAGAGAACUCGGGUGAAGGAACUAGGCAAAAUGGUGCCGUAACUUCGGGAGAAGGCACGCUGAUAUGUAGGUGAAGCGACUUGCUCGUGGAGCUGAAAUCAGUCGAAGAUACCAGCUGGCUGCAACUGUUUAUUAAAAACACAGCACUGUGCAAACACGAAAGUGGACGUAUACGGUGUGACGCCUGCCCGGUGCCGGAAGGUUAAUUGAUGGGGUUAGCGGUAACGCGAAGCUCUUGAUCGAAGCCCCGGUAAACGGCGGCCGUAACUAUAACGGUCCUAAGGUAGCGAAAUUCCUUGUCGGGUAAGUUCCGACCUGCACGAAUGGCGUAAUGAUGGCCAGGCUGUCUCCACCCGAGACUCAGUGAAAUUGAACUCGCUGUGAAGAUGCAGUGUACCCGCGGCAAGACGGAAAGACCCCGUGAACCUUUACUAUAGCUUGACACUGAACAUUGAGCCUUGAUGUGUAGGAUAGGUGGGAGGCUUUGAAGUGUGGACGCCAGUCUGCAUGGAGCCGACCUUGAAAUACCACCCUUUAAUGUUUGAUGUUCUAACGUGGGCCCCUUACCGGGGUUGCGGACAGUGUCUGGUGGGUAGUUUGACUGGGGCGGUCUCCUCCUAAAGAGUAACGGAGGAGCACGAAGGUUGGCUAAUCCUGGUCGGACAUCAGGAGGUUAGUGCAAUGGCAUAAGCCAGCUUGACUGCGAGCGUGACGGCGCGAGCAGGUGCGAAAGCAGGUCAUAGUGAUCCGGUGGUUCUGAAUGGAAGGGCCAUCGCUCAACGGAUAAAAGGUACUCCGGGGAUAACAGGCUGAUACCGCCCAAGAGUUCAUAUCGACGGCGGUGUUUGGCACCUCGAUGUCGGCUCAUCACAUCCUGGGGCUGAAGUAGGUCCCAAGGGUAUGGCUGUUCGCCAUUUAAAGUGGUACGCGAGCUGGGUUUAGAACGUCGUGAGACAGUUCGGUCCCUAUCUGCCGUGGGCGCUGGAGAACUGAGGGGGGCUGCUCCUAGUACGAGAGGACCGGAGUGGACGCAUCACUGGUGUUCGGGUUGUCAUGCCAAUGGCACUGCCCGGUAGCUAAAUGCGGAAGAGAUAAGUGCUGAAAGCAUCUAAGCACGAAACUUGCCCCGAGAUGAGUUCUCCCUGACUCCUUGAGAGUCCUGAAGGAACGUUGAAGACGACGACGUUGAUAGGCCGGGUGUGUAAGCGCAGCGAUGCGUUGAGCUAACCGGUACUAAUGAACCGUGAGGCUUAACCUUACAACGCCGAAG